UAAGAGGUCCCGCCUGCCCAGUGACUCAUGUUCAACGGCCGCGGUAUCCUAACCGUGCGAAGGUAGCGUAAUCACUUGUUCUUUAAAUGGGGACUAGUAUGAAUGGCACCACGAGGGUUAUACUGUCUCCCUUUUUUAAUCAGUGAAACUAACCCCCCCGUGAAGAAGCGGGGAUAAAAAUAUAAGACGAGAAGACCCUAUGGAGCUUUAAAUUUCAAUUCAAAUGCCAUCUAACCCUAAAAGUUUCAACUUUUUCCUCCAAGCUCAGCAUAAUGAAAUAGAAUUUUAGGUUGGGGUGACCGCGGAGCACAAAACAACCUCCACAUUGAACUAGGCCUAUCACCUUGAGCAAUGAACUACGAUCCUAUGCACAAAAAAAUUUACAUUCAUUGACCCA
rnacentral:rRNA from 1 species